rnacentral:lncRNA from 1 species
CGACUGCAGAGGCUCCUGUGGAGAGGAAGUGAAAAGAAUGGGCAUAUAAACAAGGAGCCAAAGAACUCCUCUCCUUGGCCAGCUAAGUAGCUGGAUGAACACAGCUUGGCUUAGUCAUUGUCACAGUGUCCAUAUGGCUUUGAAGCUUGUUUUCACAAGAAAUCAUACAAGUAUUUUAUUAUGUCAAAGUUCACCGUCCUAAAAACAAAAACAGAUAAUAUGUUAGCAUUCUCACCCCUAGAUUGCUCAGCUUUGUAUGAUUCUGGAAAGCACAUGCAAAAUAAUUCAUGACUAAUGCUAAAAAUCCUAUAGUGCUAUCAAAUGCACCCUGAUAGGACUGACAUUAAUUCUUUAAAAUGUUAUUAGGAACACAAUAUUUUAAUUUUUUUUUUUUUUUGCCAUGCACGAAGUUUGCCUUUCUAAAAAAAAGUAAACGAAGCUAGAGCUAUUCAACAUUAUGUACUUCAAUUGUACUACAGAAAGUUUAGACUUCAUUUGAAAGCUAUUUGCUUUGUCUAAUAACCAGAAUAAAGUAAUUAGAGAUUCAAAAGUAUUUAAAUCUUCUUUGCUUCUGAACAUUGUUUAUCUUCCGAGACACCUGUUUUGUCAUUACAUAAUGCAUAGCUCAUCUGUCCUCAUUUAUAGUUUUCAUUCUUUUCAGUCUUUUAACGCUGGCUGACCUGUGUGUGUAUUGUAACUAAAUCUGUAUGAUCCAAGAAUAUGAUACAACAAACAGAUGAUGUGAAUGUAUAUUUUUGUACUCUGAUGGCAGGCAGAAUAAAAUAGCAGAGAGAGAGACAUAUAAUUAUUCUCCUUUCACAAAACUCAUUCUUCACUAUAAAUAUUCAGACUUGGUUUAUUAUUUGAAUAAAUGGUCAAAAUAAUUGGAUAUAAUGAUCUAGCAAUAAGUAUAAAAUUAAAGCCUUAAGUAUUCAAUUCUGCAAAAAUAAUCAUCCAUGUGAGAACAGCCUUUUAAAGAUUCACUAAUUGCAUGCUCUUAUUUAUUAAACCAUCAUCAAUUAAUGUUUUUGUCUAUCAUUUUGCAAUAUACUUUCUAAAAAAGUUUCUAAGCAAAUGACUGACAUAUCAAAUAUUUUUUAAAAUGUGGAAUGGGAAACUAUAGAUACUGCUUAUGAAAACACAUUUAAAAAUAGCUAAAAAGAGAUGCUAUGGCUAUUGUGGUACCUAAUGUUGGACUGAAGAAUAACUUGCUUCAUUGUAACAGUGCCUCUGAAGAAUACUAAGCCUUUCCAAAUGGUAUAAAACUGCCAAAACAAUACUGCAGAACUAAAAAGUUUAAAAAAAAUCUUUUGCAUAAAGACGCAAAAAGUAUGGUUAUUAAAUCAUAAAGUUAUUUUAUAUGUUUUUCUUUCGUUCAACUCUAGAAACACCCAAAUUUAUGGGCACCAAAGUACUUUUGACACAUGAUUCUUUUUGUUUGUUUUGAGAUGGAGUCUUGCUCUGUCGCCCAGGCUGGAGUGCAAUAGCAUGAUCUCGGCUCACUGCAACCUCCACCUCCCCGGUUCAAGCAAUUCUCCUGCCUCAGCCUCUCAAGUAGCUGAAGGUACAGGCAUGUGCCAACACGCCUGGCUAAUUUUUGUAGUUUUAGUAGAGAUGGAGUUUCAUCAUGUUGGCCAGGCUGGUCUCGAACUCCUGACCUCAGGUGAUCUGCCCGCCUUGGCCUCCCA